UCCAGUGGAGACAGMGAAGGGAGGAAGCAAUGCCUAGGAGCAGUCAUGUAAUAAACGCACAAAAUGCAGGGGUUCUAAAAGUUUACUGAAAUGUAUUUUCUAGUAUAAUGCAAUGAGUAAUAGUCAUUAUUGCUCCUAGGACUUCUACAGAUCACCAAAGAACAUAAUUUUCUAAGUUCAGCAACUAUUUAUGUGUGAUACUAAAAUUAGAGAGACAGUAAAUGUACUUAAUUCUUUUUAUGCAGUUCAAGUGACAUUGAAGAGAAACCGUGCAAUGAUCCAGCUGUACUUACACCAUUAGGGAGCUUUUUCUGGAUCACAGGGAGGUGGGUGGAUGAACACACAGUGCUCGGUGCUGAACUACUGAGGGUGGCUCCUAGAACAUAAAAACUCUGUAGAAGCUAGCUGAGAAUUUUGCAAGCGUGUCUGAAUGCCGAAUCAACUGAGCAGCUCCCUGGCUCCUGCACAUGCAAAACAUUUGAAUUUCCUGUUGGCUCAGAGUGUUUGCAUUGCAAGUGACAUCUGGUUGACAGAAACUUGGAGAAAUGGGAUACAAAGUGAAUGCUGCAGUUACCAAGGUAUCAUAUUUAUCAAAAGGCUUAAGUGUUCUUGGACAGGARAUAAUCUGACACAAAGCAAAUUUAUGGCAUAGGUA